UACGGAGGGAGCUAGCGUUAUUCGGAAUUACUGGGCGUAAAGCGCACGUAGGCGGCUUUGUAAGUUAGAGGUGAAAGCCUGGAGCUCAACUCCAGAAUUGCCUUUAAGACUGCAUCGCUUGAAUCCAGGAGAGGUGAGUGGAAUUCCGAGUGUAGAGGUGAAAUUCGUAGAUAUUCGGAAGAAUACCAGUGGCGAAGGCGGCUCACUGGACUGGUAUUGACGCUGAGGUGCGAAAGCGUGGGGAGCAAACAGG
rnacentral:rRNA from 1 species